rnacentral:rRNA from 1 species
UUUAAAGUCAAGCCUGCCCAAUGAUAUUAUUUUAAAUGGCUGCAGUAUUUUAACUGUACAAAGGUAGCAUAAUCAUUAGUUUUUUUAUUGAAAGCUGGAAUGAAAGGUUUGAUAAAAAAUAAAUUGUCUCUAUUUUAAAAUUAUAAUUUUAUAUUUAAGUAAGAAAGCUUAAAUUUUAUAAAAAGACGAGAAGACCCUAUAGAGUUUUAUUUUAAUUUUAUUUAUAGAUUUUAUUUAAGAUUUUUAGAUAAAAUAAAUUUUUAUUGGGGUGAUAGUAAAAUUUAAAAAACUUUUAAUAUUAAAAACAUUAAUUAAUGAGUAAUUGAUCCUAAAUUUUAGAUUAAAAGAAAAAAUUACCUUAGGGAUAACAGCGUAAUUUUUUUUAAAGUUCUUAUUAAAUAAAAAGAUUGCGACCUCGAUGUUGGAUUAAAAUUAAAAUUUGGUGUAGAAGCUAAAUAUUUAAGUCUGUUCGACUUUUAAAAUUUUACA